CAUCAGCCGCGGGAAUACAGAGGGUGCGAGCGUUAAUCGGAUUUACUGGGCGUAAAGCGUGCGUAGGCGGCUUUUUAAGUCGGAUGUGAAAUCCCUGAGCUUAACUUAGGAAUUGCAUUCGAUACUGGGAAGCUAGAGUAUGGGAGAGGAUGGUAGAAUUCCAGGUGUAGCGGUGAAAUGCGUAGAGAUCUGGAGGAAUACCGAUGGCGAAGGCAGCCAUCUGGCCUAAUACUGACGCUGAGGUACGAAAGCAUGGGGAGCAAACAGGAUUAGAUACCCCUGUAGUCCCUGUCUCUUAUAU
rnacentral:rRNA from 1 species